AUUGAACGCUGGCGGCAGGCUUAACACAUGCAAGUCGAGCGGGGUGAUGGUGCUUGCACUAUCACUUAGCGGCGGACGGGUGAGUAAUGCUUAGGAAUCUGCCUAUUAGUGGGGGACAACAUCUCGAAAGGGAUGCUAAUACCGCAUACGUCCUACGGGAGAAAGCAGGGGAUCACUUGUGACCUUGCGCUAAUAGAUGUGCCUAAGUCGGAUUAGCUAGAUGGUGGGGUAAAGGCCUACAAAGGCGACGAUCUGUAGCGGGUCUGAGAGGAUGAUCCGCCACACUGGGACUGAGAAACGGCCCAGACUCCUACGGGAGGCAGCAGUGGGGAAUAGUGGACAAUGGGGGGAACCCUGAUCUAGCCAUGCCGCGUGUGUGAAGAAGGCCUUAUGGUUGUAAAGCACUUUAAGCGAGGAGGAGGCUCUUUUGGUUAAUACCCAAGAUGAGUGGACGUUACUCGCAGAAUAAGCACCGGCUAACUCUGUGCCAGCCGCCGCAGUAA
rnacentral:rRNA from 1 species